AGGGGUGGACCUUUGCUUAAGGGUGUAUUUUGAGAUUCAAGCUAUCAGAGUUCCCUGCUUGGUUCUGGCAUGGGCUAAAUAUAUGGAGCUGCUCUUUGAGUUCCUACAUCUUAAGAGCCAUCAUUUGAGAUGCUUCCGUUGACUGGGAAAACAAUAAUAUUUGAUAGCUUUCCUGAUCCUUCAGAUACCUGGGAAAUAAUUGAGACUAUUGGCAAAGGAACGUAUGGAAAAGUUUUCAAGGUGUUAAAUAAGAAAAAUGGCAGCAAAGCAGCAGUCAAAAUUUUGGAUCCUGUUCACGACAUUGAUGAAGAAAUUGAAGCUGAGUACAACAUUUUGAAAGCUCUCUCUGAUCAUCCCAAUGUAGUCAAAUUCUACGGCAUGUACUAUAAGAAAGAUGUGAAAAAUGGAGACCAGCUUUGGCUAGUUCUUGAGGU